rnacentral:rRNA from 1 species
GACGAACGCUGGCGGCGUGCUUAACACAUGCAAGUCGAGCGGUAAGGCCCUUUCGGGGGUACACGAGCGGCGAACGGGUGAGUAACACGUGGGUGACCUGCCCUCAGCUCCGGGAUAAGCCUGGGAAACCGGGUCUAAUACCGGAUAUGACUCCAUGACGCAUGUUGUGGGGUGGAAAGCCUUGUGCGGCUGAGGAUGGGCCCGCGGCCUAUCAGCUUGUUGGUGGGGUGAUGGCCACCAAGGCGACGACGGGUAGCCGGCCUGAGAGGGCGACCGGCCACACUGGGACUGAGACACGGCCCAGACUCCUACGGGAGGCAGCAGUGGGGAAUCUUGCGCAAUGGGCGAAAGCCUGACGCAGCGACGCCGCGUGAGGGAUGACGGCCU